UUAAAAUCUAUGAAACAGAGAGAGUAAAUAUGGAUGUUUAGUCGAAGCGAGUCUAGGGUGGUGAAAGCUAGAUACUGUAGUCUAUAUUGAAUGGGUCUGUGAGAUGGUGUGUGAAUUAUAGUAGCAUUACCCGGAGGUCUACCGUUAACAAGACAGGGUAUCGAUAUGUAUCUGUACCUGAUAGAGAUAAGUUUGUACUUAGGUGGCAUAACGAAUGUAUAGCAUUUCGUCCUAAAAAAGGGUGAAGUGCUUUUUUUUAUAGAAAUAUGCUAUUUAAAUACAAAUAAAAUAUGGGUGGCACCACGAGUCACUUCGUCCCAUGA
rnacentral:ncRNA from 1 species